UACGUAGGGGGCAAACGUUGUCCGGAUUUACUGGGUGUAAAGGGCGCGUAGGCGGGUUUGUAAGUCAGAGGUGAAAUCCUGCGGCUCAACCGCAGAACUGCCUUUGAUACUGCAAAUCUUGAGUGCAGAAGAGAGAAGCAGAAUUCCAGGUGUAGUAGUGAAAUACGUAGAUAUCUGGAAGAAUACCGGCGGCGAAGGCGGCUUCUUGGUCUGUAACUGACGCUGAGGCGCGAAAGCGUGGGUAGCAAACAGGAUUAGAUACCCUGGUAGUCCACGCUGUAAACGAUGAAUACUAGGUGUCGGAUUAAAAAUUCGGCGUCGCAGCAAACGCAUUAAGUAUUCCACCUGGGGAGUACGAUCGCAAGGUUGAA
rnacentral:rRNA from 1 species